rnacentral:sRNA from 1 species
GUUGUUGGUAAAAACAUACACAUGUCAGAAUACUGGCUUACUAAACAGGUCACACUUCACCUGAAUCCCAUCUCCUCAGUCCACAUCCACCACAAGCCUGUCGUGUUCCUGCUCAACUCCCCACACCCCCUGGUGUGGCAUCUGAAGACAGAGAGACUUGCCACUGGGGUCUCCAGACUGUUUUUGGUGUCUAAGGGUUCUGUGGUCCAAUUUUCAUCAGCAAACUUCUCCUUGACAGCAGAAACAGAAGAAAGGAACUUCCCCCAUGGAAAUGAACAUCUGUUAAAUUGGGCCCGAAAAGAGUAUGGAGCAGUUACUUCAUUCACCGAACUCAAGAUAGCAAGAAACAUUUAUAUUAAAGUGGGGGAAGAUCAAGUGUUCCCUCCAAAGUGCAACAUAGGGAAGAAUUUUCUCUCACUCAAUUACCUUGCUGAGUACCUUCAACCCAAAGCAGCAGAAGGGUGUGUGAUGUCCAGCGAGCCCCAGAAUGAGGAAGUCCACAUCAUCGAGCUAAUCACCCCCAACUCUAACCCCUACAGUGCUUUCCAGGUGGAUAUAACAAUUGAUAU